GGGAGAUUGUGAAGAUUGAAAGGGAUCUUUGCAAACACAAUCACGUUCUUAAAUGGAAAUGCGGGGCUUUAAACAAAUCUUACAUCUCUCCUGUUUCAGUCGUGUAAAACUCCGCAAUCAGGAACACACACUCAGGAACGGAGCUGUUGCUGAAGAUUUUUUGGGUAUCAGUCCUAUUUCAAUUAUUUAUUGUAAUGUAUUUUUGCUAACGGUCGCAUUUGUGCAUUUGUCUUGUGUUCAGUGGGCUACGUCCACAGGGUUUUGAAUAGAAAUGCAGCGUUGCCUAAUAUUUGGGGGAAAAACCAGACAUGAAAGCAAAAUGUUUUGCAGUGGUCUUCAACACGCCAUUGGAAAAGAGCAGAGAAUGACACACAUUGACCUGGCUGUAUCCAGAAUGGCCAUCUCUCUUGCACAGCAUCUGUCACAUACAGUAACGUGACUAAAAAAGGAAGUUGUGGAAAAAAUGCUGUAAGAAAAAACAGCUUCGGGAUGAGGAAAGCAGGGGUGUGUCAAUAGCAAUAAUUUAUACUGUAGUCCUACUAUAUUCAUGUUCUCAAAUAUUAUAUACUUCAGCCAAUGAAAGAUUUUAGUGCAGUAGAAUAAUUUGACACAUAAUUUAUUAACUACCUUCAUUAUGUUUAUGUACUCUCAUGCAGUUAUUGAGAAAUAGGUAAUAGAUAAUGACAGAUGUAUAACAAAGAUAUUGUAAAUGCAAUUCUGAAUUUUGUGUACAGAAUUUGUAACCAUACUCGAAUCAAUACCUGGGAACAUGGGAACUCUUCAGUAGCAGUUCAUUACUAUUGUGAUAUAUUAUUUUAAGUGGCCAGGUUUGUUAUAGUUUGAUGGUAAGUACAGACUGUAUAGCUCAGGGGUGUCCAAUCUUAUCUGCAAAGGGCCAGUGUGGGUGUAUGUUUUCAGUCCAAUCAAGCAGGCGCCAAACCUGAUUCUACCUGUUUAAUUAGCUGAUCCUGGCUUUCAGUAGACUAUCAGGUGUGGCUUCCGCCUGGUUGGAAUGAAAACCGACACCCACACUGGCCCUUUAAAAUUGGACAGCCCUGGUAAAUCUAGAGGAGUUUCCACUUUUUAAAUUUUAUUAAUGAAUAUCAACGAAUAGCUCUAGUGUAUAAUGGUAAUGGGAAACUGAUAUUAAUUGUAUACGGAUAUUAAUGUAAAUUGAUUUAUUAUACAGUAAAUAAUAAUAAAAAAAUAAUGUUCUGUUCUCCUCAAUAUAUUAUAUAAUGUUUUGUCAUAUUUUAAAAAAGAAUAAAGUAACGAAAUAAAUUCAUUUGUUUAUUAAUUAUUUCUUCCUUUUUGUGCGUUUCUAAGUUUGUAUGUGUUUGGAUUUCAUAAGCUUUAUCCUAGCUCAUGAUUUCGGUACUUCAGACCUAAACUGAACGUUUGUAUUUAUU
ensembl:lncRNA